rnacentral:rRNA from 1 species
AGUGAACGCUGGCGGUAGGCCUAACACAUGCAAGUCGAACGGCAGCACAGUAAGAGCUUGCUCUUACGGGUGGCGAGUGGCGGACGGGUGAGGAAUACAUCGGAAUCUACUUUUUCGUGGGGGAUAACGUAGGGAAACUUACGCUAAUACCGCAUACGACCUACGGGUGAAAGCAGGGGAUCUUCGGACCUUGCGCGAUUGAAUGAGCCGAUGUCGGAUUAGCUAGUUGGCGGGGUAAAGGCCCACCAAGGCGACGAUCCGUAGCUGGUCUGAGAGGAUGAUCAGCCACACUGGAACUGAGACACGGUCCAGACUCCUACGGGAGGCAGCAGUGGGGAAUAUUGGACAAUGGGCGCAAGCCUGAUCCAGCCAUACCGCGUGGGUGAAGAAGGCCUUCGGGUUGUAAAGCCCUUUUGUUGGGAAAGAAAAGCAGCAGGUUAAUACCCGGCUGUUCUGACGGUACCCAAAGAAUAAGCACCGGCUAACUUCGUG